AUCCAAGGAUCUUCCCAGACGCGA
rnacentral:siRNA from 1 species